CAAUAGCGUAUAUUAAAGUUGUUGCAGUUAAAAAGCUCGUAGUUGGACUUCUGAUUCGAAAGAUCGGUCCGCCGCAAGGCGAGCACUGAUUCUUCGAGUCUUCCUCUCGUAGUUGUUUGGCGCACUUGAUUGGGUGCCAGAUGAAUAUGGGACCUUUACUUUGAAAAAAUUAGAGUGUUCAAAGCAGGCGUUUGCUUGAAUAUAUUAGCAUGGAAUAAUGGAAUAGGACGCUGGUUCUAUUUUGUUGGUUUUGAGAACCAGAGUAAUGAUUAAUAGGGACAGUGGGGGCAUUCAUAUUUCAUUGUCAGAGGUGAAAUUCUUGGAUUUAUGAAAGACGAACUUCUGCGAAAGCAUUUACUCAAGAACGAAAGUUAGGGGAUCGAAGAUGAUCAGAUACCA
rnacentral:rRNA from 1 species